rnacentral:rRNA from 1 species
UACAGAGGUCUCAAGCGUUGUUCGGAUUCAUUGGGCGUAAAGGGUGCGUAGGUGGCGCUGUAAGUCGGGUGUGAAAUCUUGGAGCUUAACUCCGAAACUGCAUUCGAUACUGCCGUGCUUGAGGACUGGAGAGGAGACUGGAAUUUACGGUGUAGCGGUGAAAUGCGUAGAUAUCGUAAGGAAGACCAGUGGCGAAGGCGGGUCUCUGGACAGUUCCUGACGCUGAGGCACGAAGGCCAGGGGGAGCAAACGGGG